rnacentral:rRNA from 1 species
UCUGCACACCAGUGAGAACGCCCUAAUACUACAGACGGAGCAGGUAUCAGGCACGACCAUCAGCCCAAAACACCAAGCUACGCCACACCCACACGGGCCCCAGCAGUGAUAAACAUUAAGCAAUAAGCGACAACCCAUUUAAGCUUGACUUAGUUAUGAUUAAUAGGGCCGGUAAACCUCGUGCCAGCCACCGCGGUUAUACGAGGGACCCAAAAAAGCAAACUACGGCGUAAAUCGUGGCUAGAAUAUAAACCCCAGUAUUAAAAAUUAAACUAUAACCUAAGCGUAAAACAAAGGUUAAAUGAAACCAAACACUCUUAAUAAACGGUAAUUUGCCCCACGAAAACUAAGAAACAAACUAGGAUUAGAUACCCUACUAUGCUUAGUCGUUAAUAUGAUACUUUACUACAAUAGUAUCCGCCAGAAAACUACGAGCGAAAAGCUUAAAACUCAAAGGACUUGGCGGUGCUCCAUACCGACUUAGAGGAGCCUGUCCUAUAAUCGAUACUCCACGCUAAACCUCACCAAUCUUUGCCUAAUACAGCCUAUAUACCGCCGUCAUCAACCUACCUCAUGAGAGAAAAAUAGUAAGUAAAAAAGUCAAACACUAACACGUCAGGUCAAGGUGUAGCUAAUAGAUUGGAAGAGAUGGGCUACAUUUUUUAAAAUAAAAAACACGGCAUGACAUUAUGAAACCAAUGUCUAAAGGAGGAUUUAAUAGUAAAAUUAACAAGAAAACUAAUUUUAAAUAUG